ACAAAAAAUAAUUAUCAAAUUUCAAGAAAUUUGUUUAUCUAUAUUACUAGAAACAUCUUCACAUAUAUUUAUAUAAAAAUCAUUCAUGUAAACUCAAUAGGCAAUAUGAAUACAUAUUAGAAGGUGACAAAAUAAUAAAACAGAACUUUAUCUAUUUUAAUUACGGUAAGGACCCUGUUUAGUAUAAUGGUUAUGGUCUGGCCUAGAAAUCCUGAAAACUGAUUUUAGGCCUCCUUUAGGCAUGAAAGCCAACAGCCUUCCAAUUUUAUUGAUGUAUCCAGAAAUUGGGAAAAUAUAUGUGGUAAUAAAGAAGAUGGAACCAUAGUUCCACAUAUUUUGUCCAACCCUACUGUGUUUUUAUAAGAAUAUAGAUGAACAUAGUGUAUAAAUGCAGACUCACUGUGUGCAGAGAUCACUGUGCAAGCCCCAGAACCCAGGAAAAGAAGAGAGGAGUUGACACAGUUUGUGUCCAGGAUGUGAGGGGCCGAAGUUCAUUUGAAAGUUAAUUUGAACUGGAUGAGCGUGUGCCAGCAUUGGACAUUGUUUGAAAUGCUGAUUUUUCAGUCAAACUCUAUUCUAGAAAUGUCUGUAACAAUCAGACUGCUUUGCAACAGCUGCACUUUUUGCUGCAUAAAUAUAUUGUGAGAAAUCACACUCCAGUAGCAUUGAGUCUCUUGGGGUUUGUUUGCUCCUCUCAUAAAAAUACUUUUUUUCAGAAAAGGAGUUCAGGAGGAUGGGGCUAUACCCUGAUCAAAGCUUAAAGGUCAGUAGCCAUUUUGUUUUUGACUCAGUUCCUGGAAGGGGAAGGCAGCCAUUUCAUCUACCAUGAAGGGAUCUGAGGAUAGGAGAGCAGUCUGAACAGACAUGUGUCAACCUGUCAAGGUUCUUUUGCAGUGUCAAGACAUGAGGGGGGAGGGUUGGAGGAUGAAGAACAGAUUUGGUUCAAAAUCAUUAAUAUGAGAGGCUAAAGGUUUUGGGCCCACAAGUCCUUUGACUCUGGUAAAAUAUAGGUAAUGACCCUGAACAUGACUGUCUUGCUUGGAUUCAAGGUGCAAUUUGCUUCUUGUUGGAUGUUUUAAUUUUCUAAUGUCAAUUUUGCAAAAGAUUCCUAAACAGUAGAUGAAAAUGAAACUUACACAAUAACUUCCCCUACCUAUAUUUCCCAUCUAUGUUUAUAGGACUACAUUUUGUCAGUGAUUUAUAAAGACUUAAUGUUUUGUAAACUUAUUUUUUUUAUAAAAUACAGGUCUUGUACGUUCACUUGAAUAAUCCCUUGAUUUCUUCCAUUAUAAUGGAUGAUUAUGUUUUAGACUGGGCUAGUAAAAUAGUCUUUAUUCUGUAAUCUGCCAACAGAUCAGCAAGGCCCAGCUAUGUAAAGCACAUUGUAAACAUUAGACAGGAGAAAGAGGAAGAUACUCAGGGAAGAGAGAACACAGAGAAAGCUUUGGAAAAAGAACUUGAGCCUCAGGAAUCAAGAAAGAAAAAAACUACUCAGCUAUUUAAUAAUUGAAAGAAACAAAUCCAGAAUUCCUAUUGUUAGAAAGAGGUAACUGAAUUGUCAUUUUUACAGCUGGACCUUUUAGGAGAAGAGGAAACCUUGUGCAAUUUUAACAUGGAUGGAAAAUAGCAGAUUAUUGACCAAAAAUCUGUUUCCUUCUUGCUGACCUGGAAAGAGACAACUACCGUCCUUCUAGAGGACGCUCAAGAAGGAUCAGAAGUGGAUCCCGAAGAAGAGGUGGAUAGACUUUACCAGCCAGCUGAAAGGAGGCAGAAGGAAAGUCCGGACAAGGCCCCAGCAUCUCUUCAAUGCUUCAGAUGCAAAG